CAUUAAAACACCGGUUCUCGUAUGAUCAUGAAAGUUAAGCAGCGUCAUGACUGGUCAGUACCUAGGUUGGUUACCAUUUGCGAACACCAGGUGAUGUAAG